rnacentral:tRNA from 1 species
GCGCCCGAUAGUGUAGGGGUAUCAUGCAACCCUCCCACGGUUGCGACCCGGGUUCGAAUCCCGGUCGGCGCA